CAUUUAUCUGAGGAGAUUCUUAGAGAAAAAAAAGUUAUACAUUGGACUUGAAAGUCCUCUAAAUGAGAAAAUUGUGGGGGUUUUUCUGAUUUUUAUAUUAUAGUCUCUUAGAAAUUGGGCAAAUUAUAAACACCAUGGCCUGCUUAUCAGUAACUGAUAUUUGGGCGUACUAAAACUAGAUUCAGUUGCACAUUUUACAUGAAUUUGUCUGUGAACUAUUUUUCCUUGAAAGGUGACUAUCAGAAAAACAUAAACGCAAAUGUAUUAGUUUGGGGUUUUUUUUUUUUUUAGAAGAAUGCCACCUUACCACCACUUCCACUGCAAAAUUAAAAUUUUUAAUGCACUUUUCUAAACUCUGUUAGGUUAUAUUUAUAGUCUGUGACUGAUUACAGAGCCUUAUCAUUAUGCCCUUAAAUGUGGUUUAAUUCAUUAUCAUGAAGUGCCUAUCCAGGGGUAUUGUAACCUACAUAGGCUAGAGCACAUCAUCACAGGUAUAUUUUACACAGGAACUCUGUGAAUCUCUGGGGAAAUAGACCAGAGACCUUCAAAACCACUAAUUUAAGUCUAACUCAACAGAAUUAAAAUUUCUAAACAAAAUUUAGAAGGAAGGACAGCUCUGAGCUUUCAGAAAUGGCCUACAGAAACAGAAAACCACUUUGCUAUUUGAAGGAGGAAUUUGAGCUUUAUUCUUGUAGGUUGGUCUGUGGGCUGCCAGGAAAUAGUAUUUAUAUUGCCCUCUCACUCAGCCCCAGAGAAAGUGUUCACAACUUCCUUGAUCAUCAUAGAUUGCUUUUUGUUUAACAUAUAUGUAAGUCAUGUUAAGUAUCAGAUAAAACCCUCUUAUUUGUUUCCUCCUUUAUUCACUCCCUAAUCCCCAUCAAACCAGAACCAGUGAUCCUCCUUUAUGUCCAGGUCACUCUUUCUGCUCUGUUCACAUGGCUAAGUAACUAAGAGACAAAUCAUAGGUACUCAUUAAAAACUUGCUUAUUGAAUAAAUAAACCUUAAUGACUUUCUAGUUCAUCCCUCCCACCCAUCUCACACAUUGGGAAAUUGAGUUACAAAUGGUUAUUUAUCCAAGUCACACAAGAGAACAAACUAGCUCACAUGACUGGGAAAAGUCUGAGUUUGGAAUUUAGGUUGGUUGAUAGCAUUGGAGUUUGUUUUUCUUCAUUAUGUCAGCUGCAGUAAAUUUGCCAGUCCCUAAAGGAGGCAGAGUAAAAUAGCCCAUAGAACUGCUUUGUCACACACUAAAGACAGUAAUCAAGCAAAAGUAUUUAAAGAAACAGAUUAUCUUAAAUAUGAAUCUGUAUACAAACAACUGUUAGAAGCUUCUUGAAAUUAUGAAUCAUGCCCAGUAUUCCUUUCCAUUUUAUAAUUGGAUCAACUCCCCUGCUUUUUUUAAGUAAUAGUAAUAAUAAUGUUUGUUCCACUAGAAUGUGAGCUAAGAGACAUCAGAGACCCUGUGUGUGUGCUGACUUUGGUAUGCCCAGCACCCAGCAAAGGGCAACAUUAAGAAGCAGCAAUUCUCCUAAAACAGCUCUUGGAUUUUUCAACAGAUGGAAGUUUAUCUUAGAUCAAAACAAAGCUUCUGUUUCAGUGUAGUUCUGCCUAAAGGCAGGAGAAUAGACUAGAAGACUCCUUAAAGUCCCCUCCAUAUCCUCCAUAUAUUUUGUUGAGAAGUUUCACUAAAUAGAUGGACCCUAUAAUACCCAUAAAAGAAGAAAUCAUGUACUCAUCAACUUUCAUGCUUUGUAAAGUCAUUUUCACCUUUAUUAUUGAAAAGUUGGCACUCAGAAAUAUAGUAAACAAAUGUAAUACUUUAAAUUAUUGUUUCUC